AUCUACACCGAGACGAUUCCGCUACAUCUGCGCGUCUAGUGGUAAUCCUGUGAUCUAUAACAACAAUAGUUCCUAUUUUAUGGGGUAGAAAAUUUUGAUUUGUGCUAGCAAAGCCUUCCACUUAUCCCUACACCAGCAAGCAGCAACCCCAAGGCCUAACACUGCUGGAUAUGGCAUGCCAAGGGAUGGUGAGGUGUCGAGGAAGAGGGCAAUCACAAUAGGAUGGUGAGGUCCUUGGUCUUAGCUUCUUCUAACAAUGAAGGCGGCAAAGGGCGAUGCUGGGAGGAUGGCGAGGGCCUCACCCUAAGGCUGCUAGACCAUGAUUAUGAGAGCGAUGGGUGAGAGAGACGAUAAGAGUGGUAGGGGUCUUUUAUUUUUAUGGCUCAUUAUAUUGGGCAUAGGUUUAUAAAGGUGGUCCUCUUACGUGGGUCGCUUGUAAAAAUAGUUAUUUUACCAUGCGACGUGUAACUAGGAUAUCUAAGUGUGUUUUACAGGGAUGUCUUCUUUUAUACCAGUUGUAAAAUUAGGAGGGUAUAAAAUAAAUUUUUUAGUAGUGUAUAGGCUGCAACAUCUCUUUGUUGACCGCAGGUAUAUACCAUGACACAUUUUCUUUUAUAUAUACUUUGUGCUUAUCCAGUGCACUUUUUAGCGCACCAUUCAGAGAAUCAGAGCAGUGUGUUGAUAGUGUUACCUCUUGUUUGAGAAUUCUUUCUAUCCUUGCGAAGAAAAGGUAGGAACUGUCUAGCUUUCAGUCAUUUUAGUUGUACAAAAAUGCUCAAUUGAUGUAUAGUUUAGCAAACUGCUUUCGGAAAGAGAAUAAUUUAAUGCAUUACAUCAUGUUUACUAUUUGAACAAGUGAAUACAAUCAAUAACAAAAUCCAAUUGGGUGCCGAUUGUAGCAUGAGCCCCCGAUAGCAACAAGUAUAAUUGUCUAUUCCGAUACCAGACCACGUGAAGAAACAAACUGCUAGAUUUGCUGAACAUUGGACGGCUGGACGACUCCUACUGGUCGUCCUGGGAGUUGCGACGUCAGUGCAUCGAUCAGCAUGCUUGUUGCACAGAAACAACGGACAAGUGUCAUUGCAUCCAAAGGAACAGCAAAACAAUUCAGUUUCCUAGCAAUAUCGUACUCAUGUUUUGUCUGAAUUCUUAAACAUGGUGAGCUUGUCGGCAUGUUUAAUUUGUCUGCAACUUUUUUUUAUAUAACAAACCAUUGGCAGAAGUAGGAUGAUAAACUUCUAUAUAGAAAUAUUUUGUAAAAAUACACCGUUAAGUGGCUCAAAAAAUGCAUGCGUAAAAGCAGAGAAAAAUCUGAUAAAAUUUUAGAGUAAAGAACGCAGCCCGAUAGUCCUAUAUCUGAAAAUAAUGGACAACAACAGGUUGCCUAGACUCCUGACAUCAUGUUUAAUCUUGUGUGGAGAGCUAUCAAUUCGAUAAUCUGUAUGUAGUCCGUCAAAAAAAAUAGUUUUCUAACGGGUGAUUAUUUCUCUUUUUAUGUCAUAUGUGUAAACAAAAAAUAAUUUAUGAAUAAAAUUUUUAUAUUCAUAUACCAAUGCUAGAAAAUAAAUUUCGGUGAAAAAACCCCAAAAUCAACUCUAAAUUUAAGGUAGAAAAUUCAAAUUUUGACUUAUAAGCAUAAGGAUAAGUUAUAAAAAUGACGGUGUAGAAACUUAGUAUUUCUGGGAGGAAAGGACCUCAUAAUAAAUACAUGAGGAUAUUUUGUUUGAGUUGAUAAUUUUUUAGAUGUGACAUUGAUCAUUGAAUAUAUUAUUUUCAAUAUUUAUAGUAGUUUGAGGAUGCAGUUUGUAUCUUGUUAUUGUGAGGCCUCUUUGCCUUCUUAAUGUAUACAUUCUUGUACUUAGGUUUUCCCUUUCCGAUCAGCACAUGCCAGUCAAAUCAUUUGAGUUCUCUCUGGAAUCUGCUGUUUAUUUUGUUUCUUCAUUUUGAUGAUUGAGGAAUAAGGAAUUUCUACAAGCAUAUGUAAUCUACUAGUGUGUUCUACAUUCAGUGUUUACUUUUGGUCCAUUGCUGAUUCUCCAUUAUUUUUUGAAAGUUUUAUUAUCUUAGUAAAAUCCUAGGUUUAUCUCAAAGUUUGAUUAGGCCACGUGGACCAAUAAACUUGCGGGCAAGCCGCCAUCUUGAGAUUUUUAUAAAUUUUAUGCAUAUUAAAGCUACUUUCCUUGUCACAUUUUGUCAAUCUAAACUAAAUACAAUUAUACAAAGCCCUACAGAGAUGGACCGGCUAUUGGGUGAAUAGCCAUCCAGGUUCAAUGAACCUAAUAAUAUUUCUAGUAGGCCACCCCAAUCCGCUGCACUGUUACGGCGGCACAUUGCUUGUACUCAUCCCAUUUUUAAAUAAUUAAAAGUGGAACUGUUUAUUCUUCAACAUUAACGUUUCAUCAUUUUAUGAGAAAAACAAAUACUUUAAAGGGUGCCCUCGCAAGCAGAAAACUUUCUUAUACUGUGAUCUACUCCAUCAUUCUAAAAUUUAAACAUUUCUAAUAUUUAAAUUUUAUACCACAAUAUUACCGUGUCCAUUACCAUUGUUCUCAUUAUUUUAAUGAUUACAUAACCAAUCAAAUGCUUUUGCAAAGGAAAUCUGAACAAUUUAAAAUUCAAAAACUGACCACUAAAAUGACUAAUAGGUAAUCUUUUGCCACAGUCUUAAUACUCCCUUCAUUACACGAUAUAAGACUUUUAAAUUUUGCAUCAAUUCCUAUGGAUG
rnacentral:lncRNA from 1 species